GACGAACGCUGGCGGCGUGCUUAACACAUGCAAGUCGAACGGUGAAAGCGGAGCUUGCUCCGCUGGAUCAGUGGCGAACGGGUGAGUAACACGUGGGCGACCUGCCCCUCACUUCGGGAUAACUACGGGAAACCGGGGCUAAUACCGGAUAUGACCUCCUUGGGCAUCCUUGGAGGUGGAAAGUUUUUCGGUGAGGGAUGGGCCCGCGGCCUAUCAGCUUGUUGGUGAGGUAGUGGCUCACCAAGGCGACGACGGGUAGCCGGCCUGAGAGGGCGACCGGCCACACUGGGACUGAGACACGGCCCAGACUCCUACGGGAGGCAGCAGUGGGGAAUAUUGCGCAAUGGGCGAAAGCCUGACGCAGCAACGCCGCGUGCGGGAUGACGGCCUUCGGGUUGUAAACCGCUUUCAGCAGGGAAGAAGCCGCAAGGUGACGGUACCUGCAGAAGAAGCACCGGCUAACUACGUGCCAGCCGCCGCCGUAA
rnacentral:rRNA from 1 species